AUUGAACGCUGGCGGCAGGCCUAACACAUGCAAGUCGAGCGGAUGAAGGGAGCUUGCUCCUGGAUUCAGCGGCGGACGGGUGUGUAAUGCCUAGGAAUCUGCCUGGUAGUGGGGGAUAACGUCCGGAAACGGGCGCUAAUACCGCAUACGUUCUGAGGGAGAAAGUGGGGGAUCUUCGGACCUCACGCUAUCAGAUGAGCCUAGGUCGGAUUAGCUAGGUGGUGGGGUAAAGGCCCACCAAGGCGACGAUCGGUAACUGGUCUGAGAGGAUGAUCAGCCACACUGGGACUGAGACACGGCCCAGACUACUACGGGAGGCAGCAGUGGGGAAUUUUGGACAAUGGGCGCAAGCCUGAUCCAGCAAUGCCGCGUGCAGGAAGAAGGUCUUCGGGUUGUAAACUGCUUUUGUGCGGAAGGAAACGGAUUUGGUUAAUACCCGGGGCUAAUGACGGUACCGAAAGAAUAAGCACCGGCUAACUACGUG
rnacentral:rRNA from 1 species